UCGUAACAGGUCUCCGUANGUGAACCUGCGGAGGGANCNUUACACAAAUAUGAAGCCGGACUGGGAUAGGGCCUCGCUGCCUUGCCCGUCUGGCGCCAUAUUCACCCAUGUCUUUUUGCGUACUACUUGUUUCCUUGGCGGGUCCGCCCGCCAAUUGGACCUUAUUCAAACCUUUUUUUUCAGUUGCAAUCAGCGUCAGCAAAACAAAUGUAAUCAAUUACAACUUUCAACAACGGAUCUCUUGGUUCUGGCAUCGAUGAAGAACGCAGCGAAAUGCGAUAAGUAGUGUGAAUUGCAGAAUUCAGUGAAUCAUCGAAUCUUUGAACGCACAUUGCGCCCUUUGGUAUUCCAAAGGGCAUGCCUGUUCGAGCGUCAUUUGUACCCUCAAGCUUUGCUUGGUGUUGGGCGUCUUGUCUCUCUCCCGAGACUCGCCUUAAAAUCAUUGGCAGCCGGCCUACUGGUUUCGGAGCGCAGCACAUUAUUUGCGCUCUUGUCCAGCCGCGGUCGCGCGUCCAUGAAAGCUUCUUUCAACCUUUUGACCUCGGAAUCAGGUAGGGAUACCCGCUGAACUUA
rnacentral:rRNA from 1 species